GGGCGUGUACCCAAGUGGCCAAAGGGGGCAGACUGUAAAUCUGCUGGCAUCGCCUUCGGAGGGUCGAAUCCUCCCGCGCCCA
rnacentral:tRNA from 1 species